CUAUUAGGCUCGACCUUUUAUAUUUAUUUCUCUCGCCGUUGAAAAUUGAAGAAGAAAGCAGAAUCAGUAUUUUUAUUUUCCGACGCCGGCGAACGCCCCCGCUCCUCAUUCUUUCGUCUCUCUCAAAAGCAAACCCUCUCCAACAUUCAUCAGUUGAGGCUAAUGGUGGUGGUUGGUGAGGCCUCUUUCAGGGCUCGUUUCAAUGCUCCAGACUCACAGAUCGCUGACUUAUUGGAAGGAGGAACUGAUUUGUUUAGAAAGCUACCGCCUGACAUCAUGAGAGAUAUCCUGAGCAGACUCCCGCUUGAAAACACUAUGAGGUGCAAAUGUGUUUGCAGAUCAUGGCACGAUCUAAUAGAAAGAGGUGUGUAUCCGAUGAAUGAUGAGCUUUAUGUGAAGAUUCAAGCCUGGCGCUUCAUAAUUAAUAAAAUGGAAACGGAGAUUUUUGAAAGACGAAAGUACGAUAGCCUUGUGGCCAGAGGAUCGACUAUUGUUGUCAUUGCUAUUGCAGUCGGGUGCUUCAUCUUUGGCACAAGGAAGCACUGUGUGUAAGUUUUAGGUGGUGUUUUUUUGUAUGAAGCUUUAAGAAUGAAAUAUUGCUUCAUUUUAGAAAAAUAUUGCACUUUACUCACCAUUGUAAGAGUAUGUUUUUUUGUUUCAUGUUGUUUUUGGUGGAUCA